CGAUCCCAGGUCAGGCGGGGCCACCCGCCGAGCUUAAGCAUAUCAAUAAGCGGAGGAGGAGAAACUUACGAGGAUUCCCCUAGUAACGGCGAGCGAACCGGGACCAGCCCAGCUUGAGAAUCGGUCGGCGGCGCCGAGCGAAUUGUAGUCUGGGGAAGCGACCUCAGCGGCGGACCGGGCCCAAGUCCCCUGGAAAGGGGCGCCCGGGAGGGUGAGAGCCCCGUCCGGCCCGGACCCUGCCGCACCACGAGGCGCUGUCGGCGAGUCGGGCUGUUUGGGAAUGCAGCCCCAAUCGGGCGGUAAAUUCCGUCCAAGA
rnacentral:rRNA from 2 species